rnacentral:rRNA from 1 species
AGUGAACGCUGGCGGUAUGCCUAACACAUGCAAGUCGAACGACAGCACAGUAUGAGCUUGCUCUUACGGGCGGCGAGUGGCGGACGGGUGAGGAACACACCGGAAUCUACUAUUUCGUGGGGGAUAACGUAGGGAAACGUACGCUAAUACCGCAUACGACAUACGGGUGAAAGCAGGGGAUCUUCGGACCUUGCGGGAUUGAAUGAGCCGAUGGCGGAUUAGCUCGUUGGCGGGGUAAAGGGCCACCAAGGCGACGAUCCGUAGCUGGUCUGAGAGGAUGAUCAGCCACGCUGGAACUGAGACACGCUCCAGACUCCUAGGGGAGGCAGCAGUGGGGACUACUGGAGCAUGGGCGCAUGCCUGAUCCAGCCCUACCGCGUGGGUGCAGAAGGCCCUCGGGUUGUAAAGCCCUUUUGUUGGGAAAGAAAAGCAGCAGGUUAAUACCCCGCUGUUCUGACGGUACCCAAAGAAUAAGCACCGGCUAACUUCGUG